AAAAUUUACGUGAUGAAGCUGCACGAUUUAUCACUUGGAUGAAUGAGAAACUGAAUGCAGACACGCAGAAGAAUGGACAUGUGCAGCCUGUUACCUAAGAAAGCCUAAGUCCAAGCACUAUGGAAAGCAUUGCCUGUGACUAUUCCUGGAAGAAAGGUCAAUCUGGAACUUGUCAUUUCAAAUCCAUUAGGAUCAAGACAUUCUUCUUCAAAAGUUGUUGU